AAUCACUUAUUGAUGCUGUUUUUGAAGUAUGAAUAAGUCAGUAAGUAAUUUAUUCCAUUGAAAUAUCAUUGAUGUAUUAUAGAAAAGUGAUUCAUCUUUUUAUAAAUGACAAAAGGCACAUCUGCCUCAUUAGGCCUGUUUCCACCGCAGGAACUUUGGGGUAAUUUGGUUGGUGCAUGUCCCCACCGCUGGAACCACCCCCGAAGGACAGAGUUCCGGAACAUUUACAGGGUCUAAACAAGUCCCUGCCUUGGGGGCACUGCUGUCGGCCGAGCAGUCUCAUUGAGGGGGAAGUAACCAGUAUGCAAGAGUUGGGGUUGAGCAGGAUGAUGCGAGUUACCAGACCCAGGUCCUGUGUCGUCUGUUGAAGUGUCUACAAUUAGUGCACUGUAGGGAGGUGAGUGUGCACUGUGGCUGCAAUUUAUGUAAAUGCAUUUUUGUAUUUAUCAUAAUUAAUGGUAUGAUUUACUGUAUAAUCAUUUGUGUGGCACUGACAGUG